AGUUUGAUCAUGGCUCAGGACGAACGCUGGCGGUAUGCUUAACACAUGCAAGUCGAACGAGACGAAGGUGCUUGCACCUUCAGAAAGUGGCGAACGGGUGAGUAACGCGUGGGUAACCUGCCCUCUGGAAAGGAAUAGCCCCGGGAAACUGGGUGUAAUGCCUUAUAAGAUACGAGAGCCGCAUGGCUUUCAUAUUAAACGCUCCGGCGCCGUAGGAUGGACCCGCGUCCCAUUAGCUAGUUGGUGAGAUAACAGCUCACCAAGGCGACGAUGGGUAACCGGUCUGAGAGGGCGAACGGUCACACUGGAACUGAGACACGGUCCAGACUCCUACGGGAGGCAGCAGUGGGGAAUAUUGCGCAAUGGGGGGAACCCUGACGCAGCAAUACCGCGUGAGUGAAGAAGGUUUUUGGAUCGUAAAGCUCUGUUAUUGGGGAAGAAAAAAAGACGGUACCCAAGAAGAAAGUUCCGGCUAACUACGUGCCAGCAGCCGCGGUAAUACGUAGGGAACAAGCGUUGUCCGGAUUUACUGGGCGUAAAGGGCACGCAGGCGGUUUUUUAAGUCAGAUGUGAAAGGCCACAGCUCA
rnacentral:rRNA from 1 species